ensembl:lncRNA NFIA-AS1 NFIA antisense RNA 1
GAAGCUCAAGUUCACCAUGAGCCACAGCAGUAAGCCAUGCUUUAGCCUCUGACCUGUGCUCCAAUUUUGGUACAAUGAUUUCUGCCAUGUUCUCCAACAGGGUGAGGAAACAGACAGCACUAAGAGAAAAAGCUGGAACUCAAAACCAAAUUAACUCCAAACUUAAGUUUUCCCACUUCGACAAGAAAAGGAACUGCAUGUGUUUUUCUGCCUCUUGCAGAUGUAUGUCAUAAAAGUUGGAUGCCUUCCUUUCAAGACAUUUGAAUGGAUCACCAAAUAAUUACCUACUUUUCUCUCACAACUCAGAUAAAUAAUUAAAAGGAGAUAUACACAGAUUGGUUGCAUACUUAAGAGUGAGAAUCAAUUAAAACAAAAUUGUAUGCA